rnacentral:rRNA from 1 species
UCGAAUGCAGUGCCAGGUGGCGCGGUAAUGCGUAGGGGGGGACCGUGAAACGUAAUAUCGUGGCGGAAGGCGGGAGCAGGCUGCUCUGCAAGACGAGUGUGAAAUCCCGGGGCUUAACCUGUGAACUGCAUGUGUGAGUGCAUGGCUGGAGUGCGGCAGAGGGGGAUGGAAUUCCGCGUGUAGCAGUGAAAUGCGUAGAUAUGCGGAGGAACACCGAUGGCGAAGGCAAUCCCCUGGGCCUGCACUGACGCUCAUGCACGAAAGCGUGGGGAGCAAACAGGAUUAGAUACCCUUGUAGUC